UCGUCUUCCAGCAUCCCGAGCUUCUAGGGAUCCAUAGGAUGUUAUUUGCCUUUUCUCUUUGUAAUUAAAAAAAAUAAAAAAAAAUGUUGUACUUCUUUGUCUUGCUAUGUUGAAUGAAAUAUUUUCCACGAAAAUUUAAAAUGCUAUAAUCAUUCAAAAUAUUGCAAAUAAUACCCUAAGGGUUCCUUGAAAACAAAGCAUCUGCACAAGCAUUUCAUGCAUCAUUUUUGCAUAAGCAGGUACCCUUUUG
rnacentral:lncRNA from 1 species